GUGGGGAAUAUUGGACAAUGGGCGCAAGCCUGAUCCAGCCAUGCCGCGUGAGUGAUGAAGGCCCUAGGGUUGUAAAGCUCUUUCACCGGUGAAGAUAAUGACGGUAACCGGAGAAGAAGCCCCGGCUAACUUCGUGCCAGCAGCCGCGGUAAUACGAAGGGGGCUAGCGUUGUUCGGAAUUACUGGGCGUAAAGCGCACGUAGGCGGAUAUUUAAGUCAGGGGUGAAAUCCCGGGGCUCAACCCCGGAACUGCCUUUGAUACUGGGUAUCUGGAGUAUGGAAGAGGUGAGUGGAAUUCCGAGUGUAGAGGUGAAAUUCGUAGAUAUUCGGAGGAACACCAGUGGCGAAGGCGGCUCACUGGUCCAUUACUGACGCUGAGGUGCGAAAGCGUGGGGAGCAAACAGGAUUAGAUACCCGGGUAGUCC
rnacentral:rRNA from 1 species